rnacentral:rRNA from 1 species
GAUGAACGCUGGCGGCGUGCCUAAUACAUGCAAGUCGAGCGAACGGACGAGAAGCUUGCUUUUCUGAUGUUAGCAGCGGACGGGUGAGUAACACGUGGAUAACCUACCUAUAAGACUGGGAUAACUUCGGGAAACCGGAGCUAAUACCGGAUAAUAUUUUGAACCGCAUGGUUCAAAAGUGAAAGACGGUCUUGCUGUCACUUAUAGAUGGAUCCGCGCUGCAUUAGCUAGUUGGUAAGGUAACGGCUUACCAAGGCAACGAUGCAUAGCCGACCUGAGAGGGUGAUCGGCCACACUGGAACUGAGACACGGUCCAGACUCCUACGAGAGGCAGCAGUAGGGAAUCUUCCGCAAUGGGCGAAAGCCUGACGGAGCAACGCCGCGUGAGUGAUGAAGGUCUUCGGAUCGUAAAACUCUGUUAUUAGGGAAGAACAUAUGUGUAAGUAACUGUGCACAUCUUGACGGUACCUAAUCAGAAAGCCCCGGCUAACUACGUG